rnacentral:rRNA from 1 species
AGCGAACGCUGGCGGCAGGCCUAACACAUGCAAGUCGAACGAAGUCUUCGGACUUAGUGGCGGACGGGUGAGUAACACGUGGGAACGUGCCUUUAGGUUCGGAAUAACGCAGGGAAACUUGUGCUAAUACCGAAUGAGCCCUUCGGGGGAAAGCUUGAUCGCCUUUAGAGCGGCCCGCGUCUGAGUAGCUAGUUGGUGAGGUAAAGGGUCGCCAAGGCGACGAUCAGUAGCUGGUCUGAGCAGAUGAUCAGCCACAUUGGGACUGAGACACGGCCCAAACUCCUACGGGAGGCAGCAGUGGGGAAUCUUGCGCAAUGGGCGAAAGCCUGACGCAGCCAUGCCGCGUGAAUGAUGAAGGUCUUAGGAUUGUAAAAUUCUUUCACCGGGGACGAUAAUGACGGUACCCGGAGAAGAGGCCCCGGCUAACUUCGUGCCAGCCGCCGCGGUAACAC